rnacentral:rRNA from 1 species
GGGGAAUCUUGCACAAUGGGCGGAGGCCUGAUGCAGCAACGCCGCGUGAGUGAAGACGGCCUUCGGGUUGUAAAACUCUGUCAGGAGGGGCGAAAAAAUGACGGUACCUCCAGAGGAAGCCCCGGCUAACUACGUGCCAGCAGCCGCGGUAACACGUAGGGGGCCAGCGUUGUCCGGAAUUACUGGGCGUAAAGGGCGUGUAGGCGGCCUAGCAAGUCAGCUGUGAAACCCCCGGGCUCAACCUGGGGCUUGCAGCUGAAACUGCCUGGCUUGAGUGCAGGAGAGGAGAGUGGAAUUCCUAGUGUAGCGGUGAUAUGCGUAGAUAUUAGGAGGAACACCAGUGGCGAAGGCGGCUCUCUGGACUGCAACUGACGCUGAGGCGCGAAAGCGUGGGGAGCAAAC